rnacentral:rRNA from 1 species
UUGGAGGGCAAGUCUGGUGCCAGCAGCCGCGGUAAUUCCAGCUCCAAUAGCGUAUAUUAAAGUUGUUGCAGUUAAAAAGCUCGUAGUUGAAUUUCGGGGUUAGUAGGUUGGUCGUGCCUCAGGUAUGUACUGAUCUCACUGAUUCCUCCUUCCUGAUGAACCGUAAUGCCAUUAAUUUGGUGUUGCGGGGAAACUGGACUGUUACUUUGAAAAAAUUAGAGUGUUUAAAGCAGGCUAACGCUUGAAUACAUUAGCAUGGAAUAAUGAAAUAGGACGUUCGAUCCUACUUUGUUGGUUUCUAGGAUUGACGUAAUGAUUAAUAGGGAUAGUUGGGGGCAUUAGUAUUCAAUUGUCAGAGGUGAAAUUCUUGGAUUUAUUGAAGACUAACUACUGCGAAAGCAUUUGCCAAGGAUGUUUUCAUUAAUCAAGAACGAAAGUUAGGGGAUCGAAGACGAUCAGAUACCGUCGUAGUCUUAACCAUAAACUAUGCCGACUAGGGAUCGGAUGAUGUUAAUUUUUUAAUGACUCAUUCGGCGCCUUACGGGAAA